rnacentral:lncRNA from 1 species
GCGAACCAACUAUGAUUCCAAUGGAACAUAUUAAACGCUAGUUGAUUCUAAUACGAUUUUUCAGAUUAUGGAACACUAUUCCAAUCAGAUUGUGUUCCCCUUCAACUAAUCAAAAUUGUUUCACUACAACUAUUUGAAGGGAACCAACUAUGAUUCCAAUGGAACAUAUUAAACACUAGUUGAUUCUAAUACGAUUUUUCAGAUUAUGGCACACUAUUCCAAUUAGAUUGUGUUCCCCUUCAACUAAUCAAAAUUGUUUCACUACAACUAUUUGAAGGGAACCAACUAUGAUUCCAAUGGAACAUAUUAAACACCAGUUGAUUCUAAUACGAUUUUCCAGAUUAUGGAACACUAUUCCAAUUAGAUUGUGCUCCCCUUCAACUAAUCAAAAUUGUUUCACUACAACUAUUUGAAGGAAACCAACUAUGAUUGAAACAAAUAAACUUACAAUGUCAUUAUCUUGGAUCAAAGAAAGCCUCAAAACUUACCUCGCCCAUUGGAAGAUCAAGACAUGGUGUGCGAAGCAUAGUUGGAUGACGGCAACACCGCG